GUGAGGAAUAUUGGUCAAUGGACGAGAGUCUGAACCAGCCAAGUCGCGUGAAGGAAGACGGUUCUAUGAAUUGUAAACUUCUUUUGUGCAGGAAUAAAGUGGGUUACGUGUAACCUUUUGUAUGUACUGUACGAAUAAGGAUCGGCUAACUCCGUGCCAGCAGCCGCGGUAAUACGGAGGAUCCGAGCGUUAUCCGGAUUUAUUGGGUUUAAAGGGUGCGUAGGUGGAUUGAUAAGUCAGCGGUGAAAGUUUGCAGCUUAACUGUAAAAUUGCCGUUGAAACUGUCGGUCUUGAGUGCAAAUGAGGUAGGCGGAAUGUGUUGUGUAGCGGUGAAAUGCUUAGAUAUAACACAGAACUCCGAUUGCGAAGGCAGCUUACUGGGAUGCAACUGACGCUGAGGCACGAAAGCGUGGGGAUCAAACAGGAUUAGAUACCCCAGUAGUCC
rnacentral:rRNA from 1 species